rnacentral:misc_RNA from 2 species
AACGCAAAUUGCGCCCUUUGGUAUUCCGAAGGGCAUGCCUGUUUGAGUGUCUUAUAAACCUCACCCUAUUGUUUAUUCAGUAGUUGGUGCUUUGGGUGUUGCCGUCUGGCUCGCCUUAAAUAUCUAAGUGGAAUGCGUAAUAAGUUCUCGCAACCCUCCACUCUAACACACUUUAUAUUCUGACCUCAAAUCAGGUAGGACUACCCGCUGAACUUAA